AAGGGAGUGAUGGGCAGUCAGUGAACCAAACCGAAGGCACGGUGGCUGUCCUCGAAGGCCACCAGAUACUUCUCGGAUGUCGCUAUCCAGGGUCUUCAUCUUUGGACAUCUCUCCCUUCUGGUACGUCCAGCAUCCCGGCCAACCUCCCAAGCUCUUUCUGAAGGCUUUGGGCCGAGAUGGCUCGGAAGAAGGGGCACGCCAAGGCUUCGAUGCCAAACAUGAUAAAACCCUGAACACCUUCCACAUGAGGAAAGCCACCAGUCAGCUGAGCGACUCUGCCGUCUACUUCUGCGCCGCGAGUGACACA